CAUCCUGUAGUAUAAAAAGUAUGUUAAGUUGCAACCUUAAGGGUGUGAUAUUUCUCCAGGGUUU
rnacentral:tRNA from 4 species